rnacentral:rRNA from 1 species
GACGAACGCUGGCGGCGUGCUUAACACAUGCAAGUCGAACGGAAAGGCCCUGCUUUUGUGGGGUGCUCGAGUGGCGAACGGGUGAGUAACACGUGAGUAACCUGCCCUUGACUUUGGGAUAACUUCAGGAAACUGGGGCUAAUACCGGAUAGGAGCUCCUGCUGCAUGGUGGGGGUUGGAAAGUUUCGGCGGUUGGGGAUGGACUCGCGGCUUAUGAGCUUGUUGGUGGGGUAGUGGCUUACCAAGGCCUUGACGGGUAGCCGGCCUGAGAGGGUGACCGGCCACAUUGGGACUGAGAUACGGCCCAGACUCCUACGGGAGGCAGCAGUGGGGAAUAUUGCACAAUGGGCGGAAGCCUGAUGCAGCAACGCCGCGUGCGGGAUGACGGCCUUCGGGUUGUAAACCGCUUUCGCCUGUGACGAAGCGUGAGUGACGGUAAUGGGUAAAGAAGCACCGGCUAACUACGUG